CCCGCCUCCCGCCCGGCACGGCCGCUGCCCGCUCCCGCCGCCAUGACGGGGCAGCGUGGGGCGUGCCAUCCAGGUUGUUUUCGCCUAGAUCUGAAAAUGAGAGCCAGCUAGAGACCCACUCCUGCGCUCAGGUCUGAGGCCCCUGGAGAGCUCUGCACCUUGGACUUCUUGCAGAGAUGGACAGGGAAGAAGAGAUCAUUCCUGGGUCGGCUGUGUGCACAACCAUUAGCUUUUCACAACCAGCAAUCGGGCACCCUGCUUGCACAAAGGACUUCACUUCCUUAUUAAUGCUGUCAGAGCAUAUGCAAAACUUGAUACCAAAAACAGCCACAGAGGCCAGCGAGUGCGACAACAAAACAAGUAUUUUAUUGGUCUACUUUGAUGCACCAUUUAGUACAGAGAUGAAGUUAAAGCCCCAAAUUCUUCAGCCCGCACUGUGGUGCCCUUUGAUGUGCAGCAUGAGGAUUCCCCGAGCUAAAGAGUGUGGAUGGUGACGCUGAAGAUAUUUUCUCAUACGUUCUCCAGUUCACCUUGGGAAUAGAAGAGGGUUGAGGCAGCAGCUUGAGGUCAGGGUGUUCUGGUCAAAGGUCUGUGGUUAUUCCCACUCAACAACAGGAGAACACACAAAUGCAAUUUUGUGCAGUAGCCUCCUGCUCAGGGUAACCAUCUGGACACAGAGCAGCUUGUUUGUACUGACUCCUCCCUUGUGACAAAUCCAAACAUACUCCAUGUCUCCUACGCCAUAUUCAAGGUCCCUGGCAGAUGUGUAUUUUUCAUCUUCCAACAAUAGCAUCUGAAAUGUAGCACUUCAUAGAGUCCUACAGGAUCCUCCACCUCUGCUGUGCCAGUCUGUUCCUACAUCAUUAAUUCUUAGCCAGGAGACUGAUCUGAAACCAUUUCUAUUACAUUUUUCCAUCAGUGACUCAAAUUGCAGGUACUGAGGCUGUUUGUGCUACACACACACAGGAGAAAGAAAUUCUGGUACCAUAUGCUGCAACAAAUCCAGGGUCACAUCUCUCGAACUCAGCAGAAUUUCUCCAGGUUAAUCUCAGUAAUGGAGAUCAGCUCCUCAUGGUGGUGAUCUAGCCUGCCACUCAGCUCCCACAUUUUGAAGGAAACCGAGGAAACAAAUCUGUCUGUCAACACAGACUGAGCAGCCUGAGAUAAAUUUGUUACAAAAAAACCCCAAUACCAACCAUCCUUUACUGAAAAAAAGUUAUUCCCUUCUGGGUCUGACUGGAGCAUCCUGGAUAAUCUCUCCUACCAUGGCAGGACUGAAACAGAGUGAACUCCAGAAGGCCCAUGAUACUCAGACGACCUUGACCAAAAUAUGCAAAGGUAAUUGCAAAUAAGCAGGACUUUUGUUCUGGGGAAUUCAGGCUGUAUAUAUGCUUCUCCCUGCCUCACCUGAGAUCUAUGAAGAUGAACAUACUUAGUUUUUCUUUAAUACACUAGGUGAAUUUAUCAUUCAGGUCAACAGUCAGCUAUUCCUCCUCAUGCUUUACAAUCAUCAGCAGCAAAGUGGGGCAGGUUCUUUGCCAGCAGUCCCCGACCUCUUUCCACUCAGCAGUUGCUCCAAAAGCAAUUCCCAUUUGCCAAAGCAGUGCUAUAGUCAAUCUGGGGCUAUACACUGGCAGACGGGCCAGCUGGUUGCUCCCAAAUACCAUAGUAAGGUAUCUGCCCUCUUUUCCUUCCUGAAGGUAUAUUUUCUGUCCCCUACCUUGAUGGCACUUCUUGUGAACGUGAUUGUCUCAUGUCAACAAAUCUGAAGUUGCCUAGGGAGUUCAGAAACUAUUAGAGAAGACAGAGGAAGAAAGAUUGUGUAAAUGCAGAAUAAAUUUCAAAACCUACAGACUGUUUCUUUCAAUUAAGUCUUAAAUGUGGCCUGUGUACAUCCCAUAUAUUUCAUAAAAGAAAUUUCAAUACUUUUUCUGUUUACUUUCAAUUAAGUGUGGGUUGUUACACCCACAGCUGCAGUGAUGUUUCCUCCAUAACAGUGUCUUAAAGCUUCAAUCUCUUUACCAAAUAAUAAACCUUAGCAUAUUAAUUAGCGGUCCUCAGGAACCUGAAACAAGCAUUUCAAGACUGCCUAUAAUCUCAGUGGGGUUUCAGGAUCUUCUAGGGUCUGCUCAAAGCUUUGUAUUUAUGCCAUUCACCUCAACUGAACAGCAAAACUGCACGCAGAUGAUACAGAAGUAACAUAAUAAGCAGCAGUAAUUGGAUUAAUAACCCAUUAGCACAAAUUUAAAAUCCCAAUGGUUAUUACUGGGAGUAAAGGGAGGGGUUGCCAUUCUUCAUGUUAGAACAUGAAUCAAACACUGCCACCAAGAAACAGGAAAAUGAUUUCUACAGACGAGUGAUUUUGUGUUCUUGUUUCUGCAGGCAGCACUCACCAACAAGGGAACUACUUACUAGCUCCACUUCCAAGCGCAUCUGUGCCAUGUAUUAACCCUGGAGUAAGCAGCACAGGCAGGUGCUACAACUGCUUUAGAAACAGGCCCCGUGCCAUCAGAGGCUGGUGACCAAAGAAGUCUGACUGGUCUAAGCUGUUUUAAUGCCUGCAUGGGCAUUUUAGUUCCGCAUAUAAAAAUGAACUCUUAAUAGUUUUUUCCCACCCUGCUUUCAACGAUGGUUUUGUUCUUAAACCAGAGAAGCCAUAGGUUUUUUUUUUCUUUUUCACCCUUCCUGCUUAGAAGUUGCCUAGCAAAAUCCCACAGACUAUUUCAAGAAUUCAAGAGGACACUGCUUUUGCUGGAGCUCUCCUUCACAUCUCGAGCACACCCUGGCUCAAAGGCAUUUUUUAUAUAGCCUGCCCAUACUCCUGUGCAGACCUGCCUAUGGAAAAAGGGGCCCCAGCUCCCCCACCUACCCGCGAUGCCAGAGCCUCCCCCAGACCCCGUCUGACUCCUCACUCAUCUCUGCCGGCCGCUGGGGAAGAGUCAUUUGCCAUAUUGUGGGUCAUGACUGAACAGUGAUACCUGAAGCCUCUCCAUAUGGAAACCGUCAGCCCCAGCAGCACAUCCAGUUGCCUUCGAGAUGGAUGAGCACUGGUGGCCCUUGACAUUCAUCAGGAGAGCAGAAAGUCACAGGGAUUCAGCCGAAUCAAACAGCAAAUGGCAGCUGGCCUGGUACCUUUCGUAGAUACUUUUGAAACUGCUCAGGAAGUUUUUUCCUUCCCCACACAAGUUUGUCACUCCCCUCUCUUGUUACCUGCUGGAUUGCAGAGCUGUGCUUGAUGGGGUUGCAGGAACUGCCAGCAAUGCCCUCGCUGUAGCCUUGUUAGAGAAUUUAGGUCUGGGCUCGGCAAAGCACUGGCUGAAUUCACGAAGAACAGCAAUGACCCCUCGUGGCCAGGGAGGAAAAUGCCGGGACCUUCAGUUGCCCCCACACAUCAGAAAAGAUCAGUAACCAAACCUUACCAGCUAGUGCUCUUGUUCUCAGGCUUAAAAACAGAAGUGCCAGGUAUUCGGGAGCACGGGAACUGGGUGAGUCACACACUCUUCCCCCAUUUAAUACAUCCCCAAGGCCAAAGUAUCAGGAAUGCUGCAGCAAGCAGGAGGAAUUGGAAAGCUCAGAGCUGAAGCAGUCCAGAUCUUGAGCUCACUGUCUUUCAGGCUGUAUACUCAUUUAUUGAGCAUAAAUAACAAAAAAGGUUCACAAUGGGGAGAGAGGGCUAGCGUAAGAACCCUGGAAAUAGACCACAGUUUUAAAGACUGCUAGGUAGAGGGGGAGGGAAAAAAAAAAAAAAAAAAAAAAAGAGGAAAAAGAAAAAAAAAAUUAUAUAACAACUCAGCUGUGCAGCCCACACAGCCUGCUGCAGAGACACCAGCACCUUUUUCCUAAGAUCUGUGUUAUGAGACCCUGGCACUGUCUCACCUUGCAGGUCUGACAGCUCACACAACUCUACAUUAACCACCUCCAGAGCAUGCUUCCUCAGCACGUUUCCACCACAGUACUAACAGCAUUUUCAAGAGCCUCAUAACACCCCCCAACCCCUUUCUGACUUGCUAGACACCUGCAGAGAGGUGGCCUGAGGACAGAGAAACAUUUUGCAUUCGUGUACCAGUUCAGCAGAACCAUUUCCAGAUAUCAAAUCUCUCUAGGUGGUAGCGAAGUACAGGCUCUUCGCACCUUUGCCCUUUAAGGACAGAGUUCUUUAAAUUGAAGGGACAGAGAUGCAAAGAGAUCUAAUGGAUUAACUACAGACCUCUCCAUCAGCGUUGAAAAAUGCUUUAAAAAAAGGGAAGACUAGGUAUUUUAUCUCACUGCCUGCAUAUCCCUAUCUGCUUAUACCUAGAAGCCUCACAGCAGAAAUCCCCAAAUCUCCCCAUAUGGUAAUAAGAUAAACAGCUUCUAAACUGCAGCAAUUGGGUAGGGAAAAAAAGAGGUACUUUUCCAAUUAAAAGAUGCAGCCUGCUAAAGCUUUUAGCCUUUUGGCACUGUUGCUGUCCACACAGACAUGGAUAAUGCUGCUACCAGCCUGAUGUACACACCUGAAAGUGUCACCAUCAAGCUUUAGUUUUCAAAUUUCCUAAGUCAUCUUGAGGAUGUGAUUGUUGCAACACUUACUAGGGAAUCCUCAUAAACCUCAAAAAUAACAAUUCCCGGGUUUUGCGUGGAGCAUUCCACCAAUAUCCCCAAGAAGUUCAGUACUAUUUUGCAGAGGCAGAACAGAUGACCAAUGUCCUUGCUUGCCCUUAGCCACUGAGCUCCAUAAUGCUCUAGUAUUUAGGUAGCAGCAUUGGUGGCAACCGUCCAGCCUUUGCUAUUUGGCAGGGCAAUGAGGCAGAGCUGUUGGGGAAGGUAAAUACUACCAACAUGAUCUGAAGCUGCCACCUAGUGCUGCUUCUGAACAGAGGCACAGCAGUCUGUGCCAGAUGAGAAGCAAGGAAGGGCGUUUCUAGUUCCCAGGAAAAGAUUGAGCAAGGAGUUUUUCCUUUUGCCUGGGACAAGCAUGAGAAUUUGCAAGACUAGAAUUAGAGUCAGGGACAAUUAGGACAGACAUUUUGCCUUUUCAUCCUUUUACGAAUUACAGCACUGUGGUGCAAGCCGCUCUAAUAAAAUACAAACACAACGUACCUACACAAUACACGUAUAAUAAACAGCUGUAGUACAGCACCAGAGAUCUGAGGAUGUUCUAAGGAAAGCAUCACAUCCAUUCUGUAUAGAGAAGGGAAGCGACUGCCAAUGCCUAGCUCAGCAUGCCCAUGUGUAACCACUGGCCUGAGGAUCUUCACCAGUGUCAUACUGGGCUCCCUGUCAUCGCUGCUGCACGACUCACCUCACCAUGGGAUCCUGCAGUGAAGCAAUGUUGAGAGCAACACUGUGGAGAGCAACACUGUGAACAUCACCAGGCAAUGUACUUACAGAGGUACCCUGCACAGAAAAUACACUAAAGAAGGUCAAGUCCUGCUUGAAUGGGAUGAGGAGCAGCAGCUCAAGAGGAGGUAACGGGGCACUGCAGCUAUUCUGAGUGUCCUGGCACAUGGGAACUUGAGCCAACCAUAACUCUCAAGCUAGUCCAAGUUCAUUCUGGAGAAAGACAAGCUAAUGCACACACUCCUGAAUGACUGAUCAAUUUCAAAAAAUUUAUUGAAAUGUAAAAUAUUUAAUAGAAAACAAUACUGGAGCCUCUUCAGAGCAGCUCACCACAUCAGGCAUAAAAAAAAGAGACCAACAGGAUGCACAGACUGAGAAGGCACUGCUUGCCCAUGGCUCCUGGCUCAUGUGGACAGCCACAUCAUGCCAUAUCCAGUCUCACACCAUUGAGGCACAGAAGCCAUGAACAGCCAGACCCCAAAUGUGGUUAGCAAGGGUGUGGAUACUCCUGUCCUCUUAAGACCAGUAUGUGAUCUGAAGUCUUAAUGAGAAAAACAAGCGCUCCCAGUCAGAGGACUGACUGGCAGAUCUACAUCACAGUAAAGGAAAAAUCAAAACCAUUUAGAAAGACUUAGGGGAGAGAAGCACCACGAAACACAUUCCUUCCUCUCCAUCAUUUUGCACAAAGUUCAGGGGCACUAGACACAGCAACAAGUACUAUGAGAUAUUACCAGGUGCAUCUACAUCUUCAUAAAGGUCAGAUAUCAAUUUUUCAGGCUGCUGCACUAAAAGGCUAUUGUAUUUAAGUACUAUUUAGUACUAUUGUACUAAAAGGGCUCAGGAGGUUUCCUGGGUGUUAAAAUGAGGAAUUUUGGUGGUUUCUGAAGUGUGGAAUGAAUGCUGGGGAGAAGAACACUGAAAAUAAAUAAUAGUGAAAAUCAAAA